rnacentral:lncRNA from 1 species
CAUUUAUUCAAAUUCAAAAUUAAAAUUUUGGGUAAUUACUACAUCCAGUGGAAGUUACUUUUUUGAAUAAUCUGUAAAAAGAAAAGAAAAAAAAAGAAAAGAGGGGACACAACAUACAUUAAAAAAACAAACACACACACACACUCUCUCUCUCUCUCAACAAAAAGUUCUGCUUAUGUGAAGAAAAAGAAGAGAUUUUUAGUUAGUUUUCCUUCAAAAGUUUGGAUUUCUACAAGAGGUAUUUAUGCCGUAAAAAAUUACAUACAAUUCAUUAUGAGUUAAUGUGAUUGUAUGUGAUACUAUGCAAAAUGAUCUUGG